rnacentral:rRNA from 1 species
GACGAACGCUGGCGGCGUGCCUAACACAUGCAAGUCGAGCGAGGAGAGUUCCUUCGGGAACAAACCUAGCGGCGGACGGGUGAGUAACACGUGGGCAACCUGCCUUGUAGAGGGAAUAGCCUUCCGAAAGGAAGAUUAAUACCGCAUAACAUUACAGUUUCGCAUGAAACAGUAAUUAAAGGAGUAAUCCGCUACAAGAUGGGCCCGCGGCGCAUUAGCUAGCUGGUGAGGUAACGGCUCACCAAGGCGACGAUGCGUAGCCGACCUGAGAGGGUGAUCGGCCACAUUGGGACUGAGACACGGCCCAGACUCCUACGGGAGGCAGCAGUGGGGAAUAUUGCACAAUGGGGGAAACCCUAAUGCAGCAACGCCGCGUGAGUGAUGAAGGUUUUCGGAUCGUAAAGCUCUGUCUUCGGGGACGAUAAUGACGGUACCCGAGGAGGAAGCCACGGCUAACUACGUG